UACGUAGGUGGCGAGCGUUGUCCGGAAUUACUGGGUGUAAAGGGCGUGUAGACGGGUUAUAAAGUCAGAUGUGAAAACCCAAGGCUUAACUUUGGGCCUGCAUCUGAAACUCAUGAUCUUGAGUGCUGGAGAGGAAAGCGGAAUUCCUAGUGUAGCGGUGAAAUGCGUAGAUAUUAGGAGGAACACCAGUGGCGAAGGCGGCUUUCUGGACAGUAACUGACGUUGAGGCGCGAAAGCGUGGGGAG
rnacentral:rRNA from 1 species